GACGAACGCUGGCGGCGUGCUUAACACAUGCAAGUAGAACGGAAAGGCCCUGCUGUUGUUUGGUGCUCGAUUGGCUAACGGUUGAGUAACACUUGAUUAACCUUCCCUUGACUUUGUGAUAACUUCGGGAAACUGUGGCUAAUACCGGAUAAUAGCUCCUGCUGCUUAGUGUGGGUUGGAAAGUUUCGGCGGUUGGGGAUGGACUCGCGGCUUAUCAGCUUGUUGGUGGGGUAGUGGCUUACCAAGGCUUUGACGGGUAGCCGGACUGAGAGGGUGACCGGCCACAUUGGGACUGAGAUACGGGCAAGAGUCAUACGGGAGGAAGCAGUGGGGAUCAGUGCACAAUGGGCGGAAGCCGGAUGCAGCAACGCCGCGUGGGGGAUGACGGCCGUAGGGUUGUAACCGGCUUGAGCCUGUGACGAAGAGUGAGUGACGGUAAUGGGUAAAGAAGCAACGGCUAACUACGUG
rnacentral:rRNA from 1 species